AUACGUAGGUGGCAGGCGUUGUCCGGAAUUACUGGGUGUAAAGGGUGUGUAGGCGGGUAGGCAAGUCAGAUGUGAAAUACCGGAGCUCAACUCCGGGGCUGCAUUUGAAACUGCCUAUCUUGAGUGCAGGAGAGGAAAGCGGAAUUCCUAGUGUAGCGGUGAAAUGCGUAGAUAUUAGGAGGAACACCAGUGGCGAAGGCGGCUUUCCGGACUGUAACUGACGCGGGGGCACGAAAGCGUGGGGAGCGAACAGGAUUAGAUACCCUGGUAGUCCACGCUGUAAACGAUGGAUACUAGGUGUUGGAGGUUCGAAUCCUUCAGUGCCGGAGUUAACGCAUUAAGUAUCCCGCCUGGGGAUUACGAUCGCAAGAUUGAA
rnacentral:rRNA from 1 species